rnacentral:rRNA from 1 species
UACGGGGGGAGCAAGCGUUGUUCGGAAUUACUGGGCGUAAAGGGUCUGUAGGUGGCUUGCUAAGUCAGACGUGAAAUCCCUCAGCUUAACUGGGGAACUGCGUCUGAGACUGGCGAGCUUGAGGGCAGGAGAGGAACGCGGAAUUCCAGGUGUAGCGGUGAAAUGCGUAGAUAUCGGAAGGAACACCGGUGGCGAAAGCGGCGCGCUGGACCUCUUCUGACGCUGAGGCGCGAAAGCCAGGGGAGCGAACGGG